GGAAACCAUGCUUCAAUCCAAGUUCCGCGCUCAAAAUCUAUUCCGAUUUGGUUUUAGUGGCCAUAGAUCCACUCCUUUUUUCCACGACCCAAACAUUGGUAAACCGUUGAAACUCUUCCGUGACCGGGAUAGGGAAUUGUAAUUAUUUCCCUUGAACGAGGAAUUCCUAGUAAGUGUGAGUCAUCAGCUCACGCUGAUUACGUCCCUGCC
rnacentral:ncRNA from 1 species